rnacentral:rRNA from 1 species
UACGGAGGGCUAGCGUUUGUUCGGAAUUCUGGGCGUAAAGCGCGCGCAGGCGGCUAUCCAAGUCAGUGGUGAAAGCCCGGAGCUCAACUCCGGAACUGCCAUUGAAACUGUUUUAGCUUGAGGACGAGAGAGGUGAGUGGAAUUCCCAGUGUAGAGGUGAAAUUCGUAGAUAUUGGGAAGAACACCGGUGGCGAAGGCGGCGACCUGGUCCGAUACUGACGCUGAGGCGCGAAAGCGUGGGGAGCAAACAGG